rnacentral:rRNA from 1 species
GUACUGAGACACGGACCAGACUCCUACGGGAGGCAGCAGUGGGGAAUAUUGCACAAUGGGCGCAAGCCUGAUGCAGCAACGCCGCGUGAGGGACGAAGGCCUUCGGGUUGUAAACCUCUUUUAGCAGGGAAGAAGCGAAAGUGACGGUACCUGCAGAAAAAGCACCGGCUAACUACGUGCCAGCAGCCGCGGUAAUACGUAGGGUGCAAGCGUUGUCCGGAAUUAUUGGGCGUAAAGAGCUCGUAGGCGGUUUGUCACGUCUGCUGUGAAAUUUCGAGGCUCAACCUCGAACUUGCAGUGGGUACGGGCAGGCUAGAGUGCGGUAGGGGAGAUGGGAAUUCCUGGUGUAGCGGUGGAAUGCGCAGAUAUCAGGAGGAACACCAAUGGCGAAGGCACAUCUCUGGGCCGUAACUGACGCUGAGGAGCGAAAGCGUGGGGAGCAAACAGGAUUAGAUACCCUGGUAGUCCACGCCGUAAACGGUGGGUGCUAGCUGUGGGCCACAUUCCACGUGGUCCGUGACGAAGUUAACACAUUAAGCACCCCGCCUGGGGAGUACGGCCGCAAGGCUAAAACUCAAAGGAAUUGACGG